UCUAUUACAUCAGUAAUUAAUUUAGUCAGGAUAACUACCAAAUAUGGUAAUGGCCCUCGGCUAAACACAGAGCCAAUCCGCCAUUUUUUCUUCUCGCUAAGAUUUUUUGUAGUCCUAUUGGAAAAAUGCAGAAUGUCUGGUUAUUUUAGCCACACACAGCUCAAAACUGUUCCUCGUUUUAAGGAAGGGUGGUGUGGCAGUAUUUAAACCCAGGAGCUGAUGACACUACUGCUAAAAAAAACACAGAAGAAAAAGUAGUGUGUUUGUGUUUGUGUUUGUGUGUGUGUGUGUGUGCGCGCGCGCGUGCGCGUGGUUCGUUCGUUCGUGUCUCCAGGCUAGUAAGUACUGAGGGCUUCAUCUAUCUAAAAGGAGUCAUUUGCAUCUGAAUGUGGCAGCAACGGGACACAGCAGCAGAGCGGUAAGCUUCAUAUCACUCUAAAAUGUCGACAAACUUUACUUUAGAUUUACGGGCAUUAGCAGCACUAAAGCGUUAGCAUCCGGCUUGCUAUCGCUAGCACAGUAUGCUAGUAAAGUUAGCACCCAGAUUAAUGUGGAUUUGGCUGAUUUUCGUGGAAUAAAACGUGAUUUCUGAUCAACGCCUUCUUUUACACCAGAUGAUAACCUCCCAUUGAUUGUAACAGCAGAGAGCCUGUGUGUUAUUCUACAUGAGUGUGAUGUAAUCUUAGCAUCCAGUAAAUAAAGUCCCAUAUCAGCUAAAAUGCAGCGUGACAAAGUCAUUAAAGUGCGUCAACACAGUGGAUUUAAUAGUUUUAAAGAACAAUCUCUGAGUGGAGUGAGGUUAGUUUUUUGUCUCACUGCAGAUAUAAAAACUUUAUCAGUCAGACGCAGCAAAGCUCACCGUCUGUAUGAGCGUGAGCGUCGGAAAGCUGAUAAAAUCGGCUGUAAAAUAAUUAAAACAAAAGUAAAAAUGCUCCUUUGCUUUUUAGAGUCAACAUCCAGAAGUCUGGAGCCGUGUUUCACUGACAGGCUGUCAGACUAACGCCCUGAUGAGCUCAGCUGGGACAAACUGGUCUGAUGUUUAGGAACACAGAACGUUCAGAUGUUGGCGUUUCACGUCACCUACUGAGGAAGGAGACCCACCAGUAAAGAGACGGUCUGGACCAGACCAAAAAUAUGACGAUGACAUCAUGGAACUGGUCUUUGGAAAAGUUUUCCCUGAACCAACUCCGUUUCUAGAUGAGGUAGAGAAGAUCUGCAUCUCACCAACUCUCUGGUCUCAGUAUUCAGACAACGGAGGUCUCCCACUGUUAUCCAGGACCAGUUUAAAGCCCACAUACUGCCCCUCCCUCAUCACCAGGAAACAUCAAUCCGUAUCCUGAGGACAACAGAAGACGGCAGGAGGACAGGAACUCUGAGACCUAGAUACCACCAGCACCGAGACACAAAGCACCUGUGUGCACAACGCCUGUUUAACUACUAAAGCCUGUUUAUUAUAUUGUUCUACUUAUUUGCUGUGAGGUUAAUACUUAGAAAAUUUGUAUAUUAAUGUAAACAAUUUUAAAAAAUCACUGAUUGUAUGUUUUCUUUUAGAUGUAAUGGUCCAAACUCCGCCUUGUAGACAUUUAUUGCAUCCUGUAGGUAAAUACACAGAACAGGCUCAGAUCCAGGAUGACCCAGCAUGCUCUUCUUCCAUUCUGGCUGUUAGGGAUUUUAUCAAUAACUCAAUGCCUACUGAUGUUUUCACCUAACGGUAUUUAUUUAGAAUGCAGGUAAGAUUUAACUAUAUUUGUUAGCAAAGCAGACUGAUCUUGGGAAUUUCACUGCAGCACUGAUGUCCACCUCUCUGUACACAUUAGAGAGAAUUACCACUUUACAGCUAAACACAUAUUUAAUAAAGAUAUAGGCUACGCAUUGCAGACAAUAAAAACAAAGUUGUAAGCAUUAGAAGUAUAAUGAUCACAUUAAAGAACAUUUGGAGGAAUGUUCUUUAUUUUUGACUAGAAUCUCAAAUCUUUAAAUUAAAAUGUAACUGCUUUUUAUCCAUUUUCAGCCUUAAGACACCCAAUAUAAAAUAAGACUACUUAUAAAAUUAUUUAUAAUUAUAUGUAUGUAUAUAUAUAGAUAGAGAUCUUAAUAAAAUGUAUUCUUUUAAUGGUGUUUUAAUGAGCUGUAUCAUUUUUUAAAACAUUUUUUAUAGAAAUAAAUAAGCAAGCAGCA